UUAAAAGAGUACAUAAAUUACAAGUUGAAUAAAUAUUACACAGUGAUAUUCACUUUCUUAAUAAUUUGAGAUUUUUUUUUUCAUUUUAUUGUUUUUUAAUAGAGUUCCAAAAUGCUGAACAUUUUUAGAGUCCUCCAGCCACUAAUGGGUCUUUUUCACAUGCCAGUUUAAGCCACAUUUAGGUGGUCAAUCAUCAAGUCUUUUCUCAUCCACAAAAAAAAGAAAGAAAAGACUGUUAUGCAUUCAGAGAAAUAAAGAAAAUCUGUCGUUUCUACUGAAGUGCGAGUUAUGAACUCUGCUGUCUACCCAAGUAUGAGAUUCGGAAUCUGAUGAAAGCAGAUAAGCACAAAAGCAACAUGCUGCGUCCUGGCAAUCGAUUGUCUGUUACCUCUAAUUACAAAUCAGAAUGGAUCAAAAUCACAUUAAUGACAUUUCUUUCCCAUUCUCACAGUGACACCCAGAUGGAUUAUAUGACCUGGGGAAACAAGGUAAAAUGGUUUUCAGCCAUAGUGCAUCGUCUUUUAACAUUCAGGGUUUUCGGAUAAACAAUUUUUUGACUCGUUGCAUGACUGCUCAUCAGAUUCCGAGACUGUCCGUCUACAAAUUCUACUGUGAAGUGUGAAGCACUGCAAAAAUGAGUAUUUAUGUCUGGUUUUUCAGUUCAAAUAUCUAGACGUUCUUAAAAAAAACAAUUGACUUGAGAAUCAAAAGACAAGACUCGUUUUCAGAGAAUUUGUCUUGAAUUAUAGGAAGAUUCUAGCUGUUUUUAAUCAAUGACGUUCUUUCUUCCAUGGAACACAAAUUUAGAGUAGGAUAUCAAAGCUGCACUUUUCCUCAAAAUGAAAGUGAAUGGUUAUCACGGUUGUCAAGCAAGAUUUUCAAGGCAAGGUUUUGAAUUAAUAACAAACUGAAUUACAUUCCUCACACAAAGUGCUCCUACAGCUUUGAAUGUGUUUCAUAAUUUCUUAUUGUGCAUCUUUUGGUGCUUGACAGACCCUAUAGAAGUGAGCAGCUUGGAUAUUUUACUAACCUUCUCCUUUGGCGCUUCACAGAAUAAAGUAAGUCAAAGUUGUUUGAAACAUAAAGAUGAGUACAUGAAUUUUAGUUCAAACUAUACUUUGAAAUAGUUUUUUCUUACCCUAUGGGCAAACGUGUCCAUAAAUGUUCUGAAAACAACUCAUUAUCUUGCAUACUUUUGCUUUUUAAGUAAAUUCAAUUAGCUUUAAAGGAGUUCAGAUGACUUUACUGGAAAACAAGACACAAAUACUGAUAAAGAAGUGUGUGUUGUGAAAGGAGGCCCAGCUCAAGAUCACCGCUUGAGGCUCUCACCCGCUCUCCUUCUUCCCGGAUAUCACUGAGAUGCAAAGUCUAUCAAGAGUAGAUGGAGAAUAGACUGUGAUUGGUAGAUUUGUGUUACUGGUAAACCCACUGAAUGAUGAUGCGGGUCUCAGGCUUGGGCUGCAAAGCCCCUGUCAAAGGUACUCAGGCAGGGUAUCUGUCCGAGGCCUGCUCCUGCUCCUAUACCUGAACUGAGAUUCACUUUGAAACGGCACUAAUCGCGUGGCAAGGUAAGGAAUUAAGUGCAAGCUGCUUUUUUAAAUGGGGGAGGGGGCUUUCGGCAUGGAUCAGGACCUGGAUAAUGCUGAUUACUGAUUUUGCCCGGUGGUGACCGACACCUACAAGGCUAAUUGUGCAAUAACAGAGGCGACUAGGCCGCCAUGACGUACUCAAGACAUCUGCAAAAGUCUGGUUAACCCGCACGCCUUGAACUCACUCUUUCUCUUUCAUGCCACCUUCCAUUCGAGAGCCAAUUGUCAUUCGCAAAUCUUUUUUGACAUGCAGCGGUUAGAUUUUGCGGACCCGUGGUUAUUUCGAAUCACAGCCAGGCCCACACGGAAUCUUCAUGCAUGGAAUUCCACAAAAUUGGAACGCCCGGCAUUCACAAAUUCCUACGCUGGCAAAUUUGACUGUGCUUUCAGCUACCAAUUAGAACAUAGUUCUCAAAGCUCCAUGUCUAAAAUAAGGAAAAUGCGUGAUUUCUGUCCGGGCCUGGUUAUGAUGGGUAUUAACAUGUUAGAGAUCUGGAGAGAUGCAGCUCUACAGGGUAUGGUGUUAGCGACUAUUUUUACAGCCCCCUCCCAACAGUGAAACUCUGAUCAUUCGGGCCCUGAAAUAAGAUCUGGACGGACCCAUUGUGGCAUGGAAAUGGCUUCACUCACUCUUCAAGUGCCGACCGGUGAGUAUCCCUGUGUGAUGUAUAGCUUGAUUGGAAAUACUCUCGUCAGCAAUUACACACAUUUGCAGUCUCUGUCAAAUCGAUCGUCAGCUUAUUCGUAAGAGAAAUAACAGUAAAUGAGCUAGCGCUAGCUGGACUACGGUCUCACCCUAUCUCAGCCUCGGCGCAGGGAGAGACUUCUGAUAGCUGCUUGACAUACAAUGUAGUAUAACGGAUUUCAUAUCUAAUCUGAUGCUGUAUUUGAACGCAACUGAGGUCCUUCGUCAAUAUAAAAACGUCUUAUCGUUCCCCUUGGCUACUGUGUAACGUUUACGUCACCAAUCAAAUGUAUUUGCAUGUAGGAAGGCACUGAGAAACUCACACUGAACGACGCUGUAGUGAAACGCGCCUUCUGUUUCCACCGUGGAUAAUAACAUCGAUGAAAUACAGGAAUACAAAUGAAACGUGUCAUCGUGCUGACCAAAAGAGCUAUUACCUAUUGGUGAACAGUCAAAGUGGGCGGGGCUUAAAAAGUGGUCUGACCUGCAUUCAAAUGAGCAAGUUGUCAUUGUGACAGGUCAGAUGGAAAUAUGCAAAUUGAUAAUGCUAACACUCCACUGCUGAGCAUCUGAUCACUGUGGUUGUUUGUUAAGGAUAACGUAACAAAAAAAGAAAAGUAAAAAAAAAAACAUUCAAUAAUCUAGAGUUAAAGGUAACAUACCGAGGUUGCACCUAUUUCAGUGAAACCACAUGGUCGAGGAACAUGGCUCAUAAGUGGACUGUCAUUACCUCCAUGAAGUCAAAGGAAACGGCACAUAACAAAAGUUAUUCAGAAAAGAAAAACAAAACAUUACAGGCAGAAAGAAACUACCGUUCUGCACGGUGAACGUCUGUCAAAGUUCAAACGCAAAUGCUAGGAACGUUUAAGGGUUACAGCAUCUGUCUUGAUUUUAGCUCGGCCCAGAUGCCACAAUAUAUGAUACAAAAAUAUUCCAGAGUGGCCUUUUCUUUUCUAGGCGUGGGCACUGAUUGAUUCUGUGUGGACUUUUUUUUCUCAUUCGGGACCCCGUGUAACUGCGUGGCAGCGUCUGUUUACAUAGGCACGGUUGGCAUGUUAGGCUACAAAGUCUGGAGCCACUGAAACAGAUUUGUCUAAUGGGAUCCUGGUUUUCUUUCACAACGUUCUGGGAGGGAUAUGCCACAAAGACAAAAAAAAAACUAUUUUUUUGAAGCUAUCGCCAUAUUUCAUUGCUCACACGCAUACACUGAACUUGGUGAAGUUACACAUUUCCAAGCAGGUUCCCCAAUGAAUAAGUGCUCUGACAGGACCAAAAAAAAAAAAAGCCAGAUAGAGAUGACUGUAUGACAUGUGUUUUCCAUUCUUUCUUCUCUUUUGGAAAACAACACUUUUUUUUUUUCAAAUAGUAAAAGUUUCUGCUAUCUCCUUUGAUACCUUGACAGCAAAAGAUGUAAAAGACCAAGAUAGCCCUGUUAAUAUUCAACAUGCCAUAUAUUCUUUUUUUUUGUAUUUUGUUUUAUGUUAACUUUAAACAAAACAGUAUGGUGCUCAAACCCCAGCUUCUA